rnacentral:rRNA from 1 species
AUGCCUUUGUCUACUUUGAUUGAGAAUAAUAAUGAAUCUAUGGAUGUGAAUUUUGUUGGUAGGAAUAGUUUUGUAAACAAUACUUAUAGAGGAAACUUUAAUCCUAGACCGUUCCCUAGUAAUUCCUCUAAUAAUUAUGAAAAUUCCUACAAUAAUUCUUAUGGUAAUUUUAAUAAGAUGCCCUAUGAUUUUGAGAAUAGUGUGAAAGAAUUUAUGAUUUCUCAAAAGAAUUUGAAUGCUUUGCUUGAAGAAAAAUUGCUCAAAGUUGAUGAUUUGGCUAGGAACAUUGAUAGACUUUCGCUUGAUGUUGAUUCUCUUAAACUUAUAUCUACUCCUCCUAAGCAUGAUAUCAGUGAGUCUCUCAAAGCCAUGAGAAUUUCCAUUGAUGAGUGCAAGGAAAGAACCGCUAGAUUACGUGCUAAGAAAGAUUGCUUUGUAAAGCGUGUUCUUCUAGUUUCCGUGAAAAUAAUGAUGAAGAUCUUAAAGUUAUUGAUGUGUCCCCUAUUAGAUCUUUGUUUUGCAAUAUGA